rnacentral:rRNA from 1 species
GAUGAACGCUGGCGGCGUGCCUAAUACAUGCAAGUCGAGCGAACAGACGAGGAGCUUGCUCCUCUGACGUUAGCGGCGGACGGGUGAGUAACACGUGGAUAACCUACCUAUAAGACUGGGAUAACUUCGGGAAACCGGAGCUAAUACCGGAUAAUAUAUUGAACCGCAUGGUUCAAUAGUGAAAGACGGUUUUGCUGUCACUUAUAGAUGGAUCCGCGCCGCAUUAGCUAGUUGGUAAGGUAACGGCUUACCAAGGCAACGAUGCGUAGCCGACCUGAGAGGGUGAUCGGCCACACUGGAACGGAAACACGGUCCAGACUCCUACGGGAGGCAGCAGUAGGGAAUCUUCCGCAAUGGGCGAAAGCUUGACGGAGCAACGCCGCGUGAGUGAUGAAGGUCUUCGGAUCGUAAAACUCUGUUAUUAGGGAAGAACAAAUGUGUAAGUAACUAUGCACGUCUUGACGGUACCUAAUCAGAAAGCCACGGCUAACUACGUG